rnacentral:lncRNA from 1 species
AGUACGCAUGCGCCAAAACAUAGACAGCAGUACGCAUGCGCGAGUUUCGAGACGGCAGUACGCAUGCGCGACAUUAUGGACGGCAGUACGCAUGCGCUUGCUUCCAGACGGCAUACGCAUGCGCGAGGUUCGAGACGGCAAUAUGCAUGCGCGACAUUAUGGACGGCAGUACGCAUGCGCGAGACCCGAAACGGUAGUGGCAGCAGAUACCGUGGAAACAACAACUCCGCCGCCUUUUAGCGGACUGCCUGGGACCGUGGGCGCGCAUCCCCUUCUCUCUUUCUUUUCUUGGCAGAGGAUGGUGGGGGGAAGAAGGGGAGACGACAAAGAAAAGCAAGGAAAACUUCGACAAACCCUCCAACCCCGUGCUAAAUGCUUUGGUAUACCUGUAAAUAAAUGAAUACAUAACCAGC